CCCUUUCCUCCAUGGAUUUUUUUUUUUACAUACUAGAUUCGCAUAGAAUUUUUUCAAUAAAAAAAAUCAUCAGGUUUAAAGUAUUGAUGCAUUGUGAAAACAAAUAUUUCAUCAAUGAAAUUCAAUUCAGAUAUUCUCAUGGAUAUCCUUUUCAUAUUGGAUACAAUUUUUUCUAAGUCUCAUCCAGACAUUUUGUAGUCAGAGCAUUUCAACUGAGGUACUACACAGGCGUCAAAAGGCGUCAUUAUGGAGUAAAGGGGGUGGCGUCAAAAGGCGUCAUUAUGGAGGAAAGGGUUAAUGG
rnacentral:lncRNA from 1 species